CAUCCUACCAACUGGGGUCCCCGAGGUCUACUUUUUGUCAUAUCUCACAGGUGCUUUAUUCUAUCAUUCUAAUUUUUUCAAGACUUUAUCAAUCAAUUUGUUCCCAAUGACUUCAUAUCAUUGCUUUCUGUUUUAUUUAGUGCUUUUUAAAAAAAAUAAUUUUUGAUACCAA